rnacentral:rRNA from 1 species
UACGUAGGGUGCGAGCGUUGUCCGGAAUUAUUGGGCGUAAAGAGCUCGUAGGCGGUGUGUCGCGUCGGCCGUGAAAACCUGCAGCUUAACUGUGGGCUUGCGGUCGAUACGGGCAUCACUGGAGUUCGGCAGGGGAGACUGGAAUUCCUGGUGUAGCGGUGAAAUGCGCAGAUAUCAGGAAGAACACCCGUGGCUAAGGCGGCUCUCUAGUACGGUACUGACGCUGAGACGCGAAAGCGUGGGGAGCGAACAGG